rnacentral:rRNA from 1 species
GACGGAGGAUGCAAGCGUUAUCCGGAAUGAUUGGGCGUAAAGCGUCCGCAGGUGGCAGUUCAAGUCUGCUGUCAAAGACCGGGGCUUAACUUCGGAAAGGCAGUGGAAACUGAACAGCUAGAGUAUGGUAGGGGCAGAGGGAAUUCCUGGUGUAGCGGUGAAAUGCGUAGAGAUCAGGAAGAACAUCGGUGGCGAAAGCGCUCUGCUGGGUCAUAUCUGACACUGAGGGACGAAAGCUAGGGGAGCGAAAGGG